CCCCCCCCCCCAAUUUUUAUGGCACUUUCUGUAUCCUGAGAGUAGACUAAUCUUCAAUUGGAUUAGAUCAACUCAAUAUUUUAUAAUUUAGAUUCGCAAACUAUACGAAAAGUACCACAAAUUGCAAUUCUUCUCAUGUCAACAUUACAAAAAAAAUACAUUUUAAAGUGUUGGUCAAAGUUUACAUAGUUUGGAUGUCGAAAAGCAAAAAGGGCCACCAUAUAAAUUGGGUAAGAGGGAGUAGUUACGUGUCGGACUAUUUUUCCCUUUUUCUUUCUCUGAAAUUUUUCCAUUGGAAAAGGAGAAACGAUUAAGUAGUGCCUUCGUCACUAUUAACGACUAAUCUACUCAUUCAGUGGGGUUUGGUAUCAAAAUCUUUGAGCAGUGAAUGUCAUCUUCAUUCUUUACAGCAUAGCAAGUAGAACUUAGAUUUAUAGUUGUAAAGGGUGGGUUUUACCCAUUUACUGUUAAGUCUGGAUCAUUGGAGAUUUAUUCUCUUGUGUGAAUAAGACUUCUGCUGAAUCAAUUUGCUCCAUUCCAAGCUGUAUACCCUCAUUGUCCUAAAUGAUGUUUAUGGACUCGUUUUUUCUACUUGAUACAGCUUUUCUUGCUUGUUUCUUUUUAAUGUUCUUAAAGGAAAAAAAAUUAACUGAUACUUGGUCUCAAAGUUGGAGUGUGAAACUACUACACCUAUAAGCUUAUUUAAUCAUUUUUAAGUUGAACAUGAUAAUUCAACUUGGAAAAAGGACGUAGUGUGAUUUUUAUCAGCCAUAGAGUCACCAACAAAUUUUGCACUUAGACAACUUUGCAGAAAUGGUUAAUUGGUUAUCCAAUAUUGAUGGUUUUAUGUGCAUUACGAAGCCCGUUAGCAACUGCAACUGGAUACUAUGUUCCCUGUACCAGCUCAUUGAAUCCACUGCCUUCCUAUGCUAUCCACAUUUCCUAAUCAUCAGCUCUUCCUUAUUUCCUUGUCUGUAUGCAUGGCCUGUGCUUAAAUUUUUUUAUGUUGAAACUGCAGCAGUGGGUCGUUCAUUGUUCAGUGGUCUUUGCAACAAUGCUGAUGGUUUAAUGAGAUCAACACACGAGAUGAUGUGCAAUCAUUUGUUAUUCCAGGUUCGUCUGCUAUGCUGUUUAAUUCUCUCACCCCCAAUACCCUAAUCUUUUUCCGGUUUGUGCAAUCUUAAUCAGUCAUUGAGCAUGAAAUUUGGAUGUUGCGUGCAUUUUGUCAACGCAUGAUAUUUUAUAAUAUAAUAUCGCAAGCUACAUCAUUCAUAAAUCAUACCUCACAUUAUGAUAAGCCCUUCUUACUGAUCAAAAAUUUCAAAUGCUUAAUUUUUAUUAAAGGAAGCAACUUAACAACAUCACAUGGCUGAGUUGCUAUGAAAAAGGUCUUGAAACUUAUGAGUCGACUCUGCUAAUUGAGUAGUAGUUGAAUUGUCUCUUGUUACAAUGAUUGUAUAGUUUUUUCACUUGUUUUUGGUCCUUUCAGCAACAAAGAACUUUCAUACAAAUGAGGACGAGUCUGAAAGUGGUAGACAAUUCAGGUGCAAAGAGAGUUGCAUGCAUCCAAGCACUAAAGGGAAAGAAAGGAGCAAGAUUAGGAGACACAAUAGUUUGCUCAGUGAAGGAAGCUCAGCCAGGUGGUAAGGUGAAGAAAGGAGAAGUGCAUUAUGGUGUUGUUGUCCGUGCUGCUAUGCCAAAGGGCCGCUGUGAUGGGAGUGAAGUAAAGUUUGAUGACAAUGCCGUGGUACUCAUCAACAAGCAUGGUGAACCCAUUGGAACCAGAGUUUUUGGUCCAGUGCCCCAUGAGUUGAGGAAAAAGAAGCAUGUUAAAAUUCUUAGUCUUGCAGAGCAUAUCGCCUAAUGUUUCAGCCUCUUGAUUGUUAGGUACCUCUACUCAAUGAUUAUUCAGUCGCGCGAGCCGAUUGUUAGACAGUUUUGAAUUUAUUGUAUUUGGAGGAAACUUGUUGUUGUCCACAAGCUGCAGAAGAUGUUUUUUUAAUCAUCAUAAACGUUUUGACUUGUACAUAUAAUUGUUGGCCCACAAGGCACAGUGCUGUUUCUGCAACCAGUGCUCAAGGCACAAUGUCCACAAACUGACUUGAAAUAAAUAUAUCACUAACACAAUUAUUGGACCCUUUUAGUGUCAUUGUUGGAGUGAUGGGCUUAUGCUUCUCACUUUUUCAAAGAAAAUAUCAUUUUCUUCUGUUCAUUUUUUAAGUGGCCAGCAGAUCAUAAUUCUUCUGUUCAUUUUAUAAGUGGCCAGAAGAUCAUAAUUCCUCUCAUUUUUAGUAACUAUCCUCUAAUAAUAAUGCAUGCACUUGAAUCUACCGUUAGGUGAUCGACACCAAUGGAAUUGGGCGUCGCGUCCUUGUAGCUUACUGUGCUAUUCAUGGAAACUUGUUUUAUACCUUUAGGCCUAAAAUGGUUAAUGAAAUUGGGCAAGUUUAGCGAUGGGAUGUUCAACUCCCAUUGACUCAUGUAUCUCACGUUAUAUACCUGAAUAAUCCUAACAGCUUUGUAUGAUUUUUGAAUUAUAUAUUUCGUAUAUUUUGUUUUAUAUUUAUAGUAUGAAAUUUCAAAGCAAGAGUGUUUAACUGAUCAACUUUUACUAUAUGUGGCUACGCUACUGGUCACAAGUUUUGUCUAAUUGAAGUAGGUAAAGAAACUUAAUUUCAUGAUUGUCCAAAUUCUUUUCGUGUUGCAAAAUAAGUAGUUGAGGUUCAGAUGAUCCAACUCAUGAAUAUGGUACAGGGCAGGCCAUAUUUUACAUUUUAUAGUGGCACAUUCAUUUUUCUUGGUACAUACUGUGCCCCUCUUUCUCUCUGUUUCUGUCUUUUAACUCAGUAGCAAAUUAUAAAAUGGCAUCACUAGUGUUGAUGCUGGAAGCACUUAUCAGAUCUCGCGAGGACAUCUAUCUGCAAGGACAAGACGAUGGGCUGCUUCUCAAUGCUGAAGAAACAGGCGAUAAUAAUAGUAACACGAAUUUGGUUACUCGAAACAAGGAUUAUUACUCUUACUAUUACUGUGGCUGGAUAGUUGAAGCUGAGGAUGUUCCUAGCUGGAACAUUAUAUCUUAAUUAGUGUUGUAUUUGACCCAUAUAAAGAAAUCCUAGAAAGAGGGCUAAACAGGCAUUUCCAAGUGUAUAUAGUGCUAGUACGCUUUUAUGUAAGUUGUUUCUUUAUCCCUGGUCUGAUAUCUGGUCAAGAAAUGGAAGUUGGAUCCUAGUGUUCAACUUAGUCCAUAAAUCCCUGCAGCAAACAUGUAAGCAGGGCCAUAUUUAUGAUAUGAUCAAUUUAAAUGUGAUGUUAAUUGGAAGCGCGAAACAUUAUGUCAACCGUAUAUGUCUAGUGUGUACAUCAAAUAUUAUGCGAAUAGCAGGGGACUUGAGCCUGAGGCUAACAUUUUGGUGAAACUAAUCGAACUAUAAGCUACACAAUGUAUUCUUCAUUCAUAUUAAUCAAAGAAAGUAACAACUUGUUCUGCUUUUGGCAUGCAACAUCAACAAAGGAAAGGUGGAAUGGGGUUAGAUAAGAAAGUUCAUACUUAAGAUGCACAAUCUAGGUACAUAUAUAAGGUGCAUCUUUUACAAUGAAACGUGGUACAUAUGUUCGUAAUAAAUUUGUUAUUCGUCACAACAACAACAACAAGAAAGACGUGAAAGGGUGUAUAUAAGCAAUAAAGUUGAUUCUUGAGUUGGAACUAAUAGGGAUGCAUAAGCCAAGAAUUGCCAUCAACAUAAUAGGUCUCAAUAAAAGGCAUGGCCUCUUCAUCGUUGAGUAUUCGUGCCCACGGAACUCUUCCUGUCAUGUUGGCUCCUGGUCCACUGCACCUGUACUCCCCAUAAUACACUCUCCUACAUCCAUUUUUUCAACUUCAUUGCCAAAACAAUUUUGAAACUAUAAAAGAACAGUAAAAACCAAAAGACUUACGAGUCUCUAAUUGUUUUGCCCCAAUCAUUCCAUCCUAGUGGAAGAACAAUGUUGUCCAUGUAAGUGUAAGAGAAAAUCACUCUAGAAUAAUCACCCCACGCUCUGCCUAAAUAAACUGAUCCUGUCCCUGUUAUGGUGCUGUUCUUGAACGAGAAUCCACUUAAUAUCGACGAAUUUGUACGUUUUUGGGCUGUCAGGGACGCUACUUUCUUUGCCACUGAGUUCAACUGGCAGUUCUAUCCACAUAAUAUAAAAAUGUAAGUAGAUUUGGGACAACUGACAGCUCAGUACACAAAGCAUCUCACGUUCACAUAGGGUACAUGAAAGAAAUGUAACUUUUCAUGACAGUAGAGAAGGACAAUGUCUAUAUAAGUUAAUUAAAAUGCAACUGACCUCAUAUAGGGAUCUACCAUAGCCAAAGAUGAAAUCAACAGAGCCUUGAAUGAAGCAAUUGUUAAAAUAGUGAAGUCCCUUGUGAUCAUAAAGUGUGUCUUGGCUUCCAUAGAAACUGCAGUUGUAAAAUGCUGCUUUGUUCCCUGAUAUUCUUAGUGCCACUGCUUGUUCUCCUGCCGUUCCAACCACAUGGGGUGCUGUAUUCUGCAAAACCAAAGUGUUACCUCCAACCUUAGUGACGGAUUUAGGAUUGAACGUCAUAUAUUCAAUUUUUAGGUUCUUAUCGUUGAAUUCAUUGAAUUUUUAAAAUUUGAUGGAUUCCUACGAUCCGUAUAAAAUAAAUUGAUUUUAAUUGAACCAUUCGUAACUUGUUAUCUACCUCCAUCGUCAACAGUAGUAGAGCUAGAAAUUUUAAUAAAGGAAUUCAUGUCGUGACCCUAAGUAAGUUUUGAAUUACCUUUGCCGCUACAAUAAAAAAAUAUUUUUAUCACACUGUGCGGCACUGAUGAUUUCAUUAAUAAGAAUACUAGUUACUCCGUGAUUGUUAUAUCCAGUGGCGGGGCUAGGAUUUUUAACAAGAGGUUCAAAAUUUGAAGAAGUAAACACAUGAACUAAUCGAAGGGGUUUCAACAUCUUCUACAUAUACAUAAAAAAGAAAUUAACCAUGUAUAAAUAGUAAUAUUUUCUACCGAAGGAGGUUUGAAUGAACCCUGAAGGUAUGCUGGCUCCGCCCCUUAUAGCACUCCUAUUACAAGUACUGACGAUUUAGUACGUCCUCUGUUUAAUGAAGAAAAGAGGACAAUUUUAAAAAAAAUGAAUGAUUUUUUUCAUAUUUAGUACAGUAAGUUUUUAAUUUGAACAUUCUACAUAGCAAGUUUAAGACCAUAAGAUUGAAAAGUCUCCUUUUAUUUUGUAACUGUAUGCCCAGUCAAACUAAGACAUUUAAAUUGAAAUGGUGAGAGUAAUUUAAUUUUAAAAGCUGGUGACAGUAUAUGUUAAUGCUUCUUCAUUUUUUUGCUUUAUCUAUUGGAAUAAUUUGUAUGGCAGUAGAAUUUAGGCUUCAACUACGAACUUGUAAAAACUCCAUGUGACAUACAAAGUUCAACUAGAAUACUGUCACGGAUCUAUGUCAUACGGAGGAAAUGUGUUGGUGCAUGUACCUUAAAUUCGUAUUUUAAUCUUAUGGAUAUUUCGUCUAAUGAACAACUUAUAGAAAAAUCCAUUUGACAAGAUCACAAGAUUAAUAUAGAAAUUUACCUCAAAAAUGACAUUUAUGGCGAUAAAAUAAUCGGCAUCGACAGAAACAGUAGCACUUUGGAAUGUCUUUAAAGGCGUGCCACCGGUUCCAGUAGCUGAAGCUGUGUCAUUUCCUGUAAUCCGUGGCGGAUUGCUACUAUCGCCCCGAAAUGUCACAAACGGCAAACUUCUUGGAAUGUUAAUCUUUUCCCUACAAUUUCACUUAUUGUCGUCACAAUAAUAUUACUACUUCUACUAAAGUUUUAUCUAAGUCAUCAUUGUCGUACCCGUUAAUCGUUAUACCCCACCCCCCUAAAAAGAAAUAAAAUACUCAAAGGUAGUAAAUAUAGUUUUUAAUUUUAUAUAUAGUGAAGAUUUUAUCCACUAAAUGUAGUUAAAUACCUUAUCUUAUACACGUGUAAGAGAUUUUUUCGCAAUCAAUAUACUUUUAGUGGCCAUAAAGGCACUUAUUAUAUUUUAAAGGUACAAAUCCAUGUUUGCUAUAAAAAAAGAAGUUAUUUGCAAUUGACUUUAUAUAUAUAUAUAUAAAAGUUAAACUCUUUUUAGAUUAUUAAUCCGGGUUUAUUAUUUAGCAUAUGUACCUCAUUAUAGUGUAAUUGAUUUUUAGUGAAGGAAUGUCAAUUGACAUGCCUUAGCAUAAGGUGUCUCUACUACUAUAUCCUAAUAUGUUGAGUAAGUAAUUAAUUUGAUUGCGUAAAUAUUUUUUAUACUAUCAUUAUGUAAUAAUAAUGAGGUACAUACCUAUAAACUCCGGGUUUGAUGUCCAGUAUGACCCUGCGCUUGUUAUAGAGUGGAAUGCUAGCAAGAGCUUCCUUGAUGGUGUUGAAAUUGCCACUUCCAUCUUGACUCACACUGAUUAUCAUUUUGUUCAUCUCUGCGUAUAUAAGUUUUGGAUCUAAGCUGCUACUAACAGGAGCUGGAGGAGCAUGUUGUUUUUUGUGUUUGAUUGAUUCUUGCAUCCAUUUCAAACUUGUUUCUCUCUUUCUACUAUUGUAGUGUUUCACAUUCAAAGAUAUCCAUUCAUCAAAAUUCUCAUUGUCUUUUUCUUGUGAAGUCAAUGACAUGAGUAGCAUGGAAAGGAAGAACAAUAAUACAAUAAGUGUGGAAGCUGAUGCCAUUGAGUUACAAUGGGUACGGUGGAAGAAUAAAUAACUAUAAUUAUCCAAUAUUAAGCACUAUAUAUCUUUGUGUUUGCAUGAUCACAAUUCACAUGCAUAUAUAUAUAUAUUUUGAUAAAAGAAAAAGGUAUUGUGGUUAGGUUUGGUCCUAUCUUGACCUGUAUUUACAAAAAUGGCCAUCACUAUAGUAUAUUGGGAAAAGGGUCUAAUAUAUUCCUCAACUUUGCUAUUUAGAAUUGAUAUAUUCGUCAUUAUGAAAAUGACUCAUAUAUACCUCUACUGUUAUACAAAUGGAUCAUAUAUACUCUUUUCCUUUAACGGUAAGGAUUUAUAUGAGUCACUUUCAUAACAAGAGGGUAUAUCAGUUCUAAAUGGCAAAGUUGAGGGGUAUAUCGUAAAUAAGGGUCAAAUUAAAUUAGUUAAUAUAGAUUUAUUAAUAAAAAAACAUCAUUUGUUAGAUAACGUCGAUAUAUAUGCACCAUAUUUUUUUAAUGAGAGUAUAUCCGUUCUAAAUCGGAAAGUUGAAGUGAUAUAAUUGCCUCUUUUUCCUUAAGAAAACUAAUCUUUCAUGGAAAAAAAAAAACUAAUCUUUCAUGGUAUGCAUGACAUCACUGAGUGAUAAGCUUCAAUCAUUUAAAAAUAAAAAUUGAAGCUGUAAUCGAAAGAAAAUAAAACUUAAACAAAUCGUUGAGAGAGAAGCGAUUUUCAGAAGAAAAAAAAUAUAGUAAUUUUUUUAACAUAUUCGCUGACAGAGCAGCAUUUUUGCAGGAAAAAAAAGGAAAAUUACAUUUCACUAACAGUAUAGUGAAGUUUCGUUUUGGUUAAACUAAAAAUUGAGUAACCUUUUAUGUACUUUGGAAAUUUUUUUUGACCGUUUUAACUACGAACUCGUAUAUUUGACCCCAACAAUUAUUAGAGGAUAAAUAUAUUUCAUUUCACAUAAUUAAUUAAGGUGCAAAUUUAACCUUUGACUUAAUUUAAAUUUUAAAGCCCACAAUGUAGAAAAAACAUUACACACUUGAUAUGAUUUAAUUGUUUAUAAUUACAGGUUCUCUCUAUAUCAACCAACUAAUUACUAUAUUCAUAUGCGAAUGCAACGUUGUGACACUGAAUUCAUCUAGAACAAUACUUUAGACGCAAAACAUAAAUUUGAAGGUAGAAAUCCACGAAAAUCAAAAUACAAUAAAUAAUACUUAUACUUAAAUUCAUAAGUAUAAAAAAUGUAAUAAUAUUAAUAGUAAGAAGCUUAAAGGCUGAAAUCAUAUAUAAAUUCAUAUUAGGUUUGAUAUAUAUGCAAAGUUAUCUGUCGUUGGUAAAUUAAUAUUCUCCCCUACUUUCCUUUUUAAUUUGUUUCGAAAAGAGCACUUCUUUUCUUUUCAGCAAUAUUUUAAUUUCAACAUUUCAUAUGACAUAUUUAAGGUCAUAAGAUUAAAUGAUAUUUUUAUAUAUUUGAUAUAACUUUAAUUUAGAAUCACAAAUUAAAAAAAAAUUCUUUAUUUUCUUUAAACUUCGUAACAAGUUAAACUAGACUAUUCUUUUUGAAACGGAUCUAGAGUAUUACAGGAUUUUGUAAUAAGUUGGGAAAGAAAGAAGGGAAAUGGGUUGAGCUAGUGUGGAAAGCAUUAUAAGCAGUUUGGGGGUCCCUACCCUCUGAAAGAUGUUGGGUCGCAGCUAUGGUGCAAACCCAUGUUUCAAUUAGUGCCAAAAAAUUUGGAGAUAUAAGUGGGCACGAGCUGAGGGAUAAUUAGCUGUAUUCCAAUUGAACUUGUUUGUUUGUCCGAGUUAAUAUCUCGAAAGUUCACUCAACUUUAAUAAUUUAUCUAACAAAAUCAUUAAAUUUUAUUUUGUAUUAAUAAAUCAUGAGUUAAUAUCUCAGAUGACCACUCAACUAUGCACUCUUUUCUCAUUAAGUCACUCAACUUUGAAUAUUAACUCAAAAGUCACUCAACUAUGCUCUUUUUUCUUAGAAAGUCACUUAACUUUGAAUUUUAACUUAAAAGUCACUCAACUAUUCAUUCUUUUCUCAGAAAGUCACUCAACCUAUUUAAUUGAUAUUUUAAUUAAAAUUACUGAUAAAAUUUUUAUUUAAAAACAAAAACUCUAAAAGAUAAGAAAAUACCAUUUAAAUCAUUUAGUGACCCAUUUAAUUAAAAUUUGCUGCUUAGUUGCAGGACAUGAAAGCUAACAAGCUAAUUGAAUUUGCCUUUUAAGUUAAGAAGAGAAGUGUGAUUACAUCGUAGAACAGUGUUUUUCAUCAUCUCUUAUUUUGCUACUUUCUGUUUUGAUUGUGAAGAAGACUGAUCAAAGUCAUCUAGUAGCAGCUAGUUUUGCAUCUUAUUGAUUUGCUGGGUAAAAUUAAAUUAAAUGGGUCACUAAAUGAUUUAAAUGAUAUUCUUUUUAUUUUUUAGAAUUUUGGUUUUUAAAUAAGAAAUUUAUAUCAGUAAAUUUUAAUUAAAAUAUCAAUUAAAUAGGUUGAGUGACUUUCUGAGAAAAGAAUGAAUAGUUGAGUGACUUUUGAGUUAAAAUUCAAAGUUGAGUGACUUUCUAAGAAAAAAGAGUAUAGUUGAGUGACUUUUGAGUUAAUAUUCAAAAUUGAGUGACUUAAUGAGAAAAGAGUGCAUAGUUGAGUGGUCAUCUGAGAUAUUAACUCAUAAAAUCAUUCAGAUUAAUCUUUUGUAUCAAAAAAAUCAUAACUAGAUUUAUCAUUAAAAAGCCAAGAUUUUAAAAACUUUGGUCCAUAUUUCCUGCUGUCACCUGACAACAAUUGAAUUUCAUUCACUGUUUAAUAUUAUUAUGUUUAUCACUUUCCUAAUUGAAUUCCAGUUAACUAAGAAGUGGAAAAUAUGUUUAUAUGUACUGUAUAAUUUAGUUGAAUAACAAAUGAUAUUAAAGGAAUAAAUUUUGUAUAUAUAUAUUAUUUUUUUGGUCAAAAUGGCAUCUAAAAGAUCCAAUUCCAUAGCCAUUUUAUUAAUCCUUUUUCUUAUAUAAACUUCUCCGUAGUAGAUUCAGGGAAAUUUUUUUUUGCACAUCGCCCUGUAAAACCUUAAAUUCUUACUUCCAUGGUGAAUGUCAAAAAGGCAACAUCAGCCGUAGUGGGAGCUAGCUCCAUCUCGCAGGGGAAAAUUGUGCAACAUUGGCUGGUCAAAAUUAAUAUAUAUUUUGGAGAUUUAGUUGUAUUUAAUUUGAUGAUCCAAUUACUUUGGAUAAUUAAUAUUAUUCAGAGCAAAAGGGUCUAUAAGCAUUAUAUAUUUUUAAUGAUAAAUUUGUUUCAAUGACUUUAUUAAUACAAAUGUCUAAAUUAAGUGAUUUUAUUGAUUACAAAGGUCUAAAUUGGAUAUUUUAUUGAUAUAAAACAAACUUUAAUAAUUGUACUAGAUAAAUUGUCAAAGUUGAGAAAUUUAUUAACUCAUUCAUUAACACAACAAAAGAGAUCAAAAUUAUCCUAAUCUCUCAUUUUAGACUGAUAAAGUUAAAAGUGGUGUUUUGCACUUUGUGAGAAGAUAGCCCUGAAGAGUAAAGGGUAUAUAUACCCCACGCAUCAAUUAAUUAAGUACUACUCCAUAUGUUGUUAUAAUAAAAAAUAAUGGAGAAGAGGAGGACCUGCAAGCAACUUGGUGGAAUUAGGACUACUCAUAACUACUGACCCCAUACUGCAUAUUCAACAAUAGUCAAUAUUGUCUCAAUUCUGUCCAAAAUGUCAACUCAAUAUUCUUCUACACAAAUUGCUCGGAAUUAAAAUUUCCUAUCGUAAUAGCUCAGUUGAUUAGUUACUUGAACUCACACCUUCUUGGUUCGAGAUAAUAUCCCAAUUUCACAGGGUAAUUAAAUGACUCUCUUUUUUCCGGGAUAUUAUUACUAUAGAUAUUGACACUAUUAUGAUCAACGAACUUACCAAAAUACCCCUCCAGGAGAAGCUUGGUUAUUAACCUUUCUUAGUGAGAUUAGUUACCGAUAGCCCGUGGAAAGCACAAACCCAAUAACAUUAAGUCAUAUAUAUAAUUUACGCUAUAGGCAAAGUAACUAAUUGUGCUCCAAUUUUUCCUAUUCAACGCCCUAUUUUAUUUAAUAUAUUUUUCAUUUUAUAUGAAUUUAUGAAGUUAGAGUUUGUUUGGUUAUACUUAUUACAAUAUGUAUUUCAUCAUAAUUUUUUCAUAUAUCUUUAACGUAUUUUGAAUUGUCAAUUAUUAUGACUUAUUGUACUUUUAAAGCAAAUUUUCAAUAUGUAUAUUUUAAUUUUAAAAAUGAGUCAUAUUCAAUUAUUUUGCUAGUUUUUAGAAAUUAGUGGUAUAAAUCAUAUCUAGUAAAAGUACACUCAAAUUCAAAAUACUUUUUUGUGAAAUGUAUGACCAAACACAAGUUAAACUUUAAAUCAAAAUUUUUAAAAAUAAAUUAAUAUAAAAAUAUAGAAGAAAGAUACCAAAAAUUAUAAAAUAAAGCUAAAUGACAAAAGUAUCCUCACACUUAAAUUUAAUUCCGAGAAGCACACAUAUUGAUCGUAACCUGUGUGUUUAUUUAUUUCUUAUAUAAUCAGAUAAAAAUCCUUAUAUGGUAAAAAUUACUAACGGUCAUGUAUGCUUGUAAUUUGUCUUUUUAUAUAUAUAAUCGAUAUCUUCUCCAAGUGAAACCAAAAGGCAAAAUAUACUAGAGAAAAAUUCACAAAUAGGCCCUUUACAAUUCUUGUAAUUGAAAAAUAUUGAUUUUUUAAAAUUUUGCUUAAAUUUAAAAAAAUUUAUGGCAUUGUUAUGGAAUUUCACUUAUAUAAAUUAAAAGGGGAAAUUUCCUCUAUAUAUAGGUAUAUACGACCAUAUUUUGAUCUAGAAUAGUAGUAUUUUUCUAACAAAAUAUAUACAAAAGUAGAUUUCUCCCUUAGUUACUAUCGUAGUGAUUAGCAUAAAUCUUUAGGGAUUUCAGUUUUAUACAAAUUCCAUGUGAUUCAGGUUAGUAUGAUUUUCUCUGUAUUUUGCCUUAUCCACUAAAUAUUAUGUGACGAUCCGUCACAUCAUCACGCUUCAUAAGCGCUGUAUAAGUGUCGCAUAGUAUAAAGUUAUCAAUGUGAAUUGUUUACAUAAGAAAAAGACUAGUCCUUGUGGAUGAUUCAAGAGAAAUAUAGAUAUUUUCCUUGAAAGAUUAUAGAAUUCAAUAGAAGGUUCUUGAAUCUAGGAUUGUAGAGUAUUCUAUAGAAGAGAUUUAUUUGUAAAUAUAUAUAAACUUACAUAAUAAUUAUUAUGCUCUUUCUUCCAUUCUCUUAGCGAUUCUUAGAGUUUUAGGCUGAAUUGCAUAACAAAAUCGUAAGCAAAUGGUGCAAGAACGUGAGCAAAUUUUCAAGUACUGCACGUAUGCUUAAAAAAAGACUAAGAACGUGAUAAUUAGUUGUAUAUUAAGUUCAAUAAUCCGUCAAUAUAUACCACAUUAACCAACAUAAAAGUAAUAUAAUGAUCCACAUAUAGUUCCUGAAAAAAGUGAAUAAUUUUCAAUUUUUUGUUUUAUAUUCUUCUUUUUAAAAGAAAAUAAUUUUAUAAAAACUUUUUAUGUGUAUUUUUUUAAUCUAUCUAGGACGAAUUGAAUGUAAUGAUAUCGGAUUCAUCUUAAUUAAGAAUGUCAUGCUUGCCUUUGGCACUCGGAGAAGCAAAUCUUGAUUGAACCUAUAUUUGCUCAAUGAAUACAAUCCGCUCAUGGUAAAACUUCAUAUGGGUUCGAUGUUGCCCAACAUUCAAUGCGGGUCGAAGCAUAUGGUUGCCGGGUUUGUUAAAUGCUGUUAAUGAAAAUAGUAAUUCAUUAUUCUUAACAAUAGGUCCUGGAGACUUUUUGGUUCAUCAUUCUAUUGCCCUUGGUUUACAUGCAACUACAUUGAUCUUAGUAAAAGGUGCUUUAGAUGCAUGUGGUUCCAAGUUAAUGCCAGAUAAAAAGGAUUUCGGUUAUAGUUUUCCGUGCGAUGGCCCAUGACGAGGCGGUACUUGUGAUAUUUCGACACGGUACACGUUUUAUUUGGCAAUUUUUUUUAGACCUAAUGUUUAGUAUAUUUUUAUACAUAAAUUCACGUUUUCUAUCAAAAAAAUUAGGUUCAAAUGAAUUCAGUAUCAAUCAAUCAUAUUUCUUCUAUAUUCAACCAAAUUAAAUAACUUUUUUAAAAAUAAAUUUGAAUUGAAUGAUUUGACGAUCGAUUAAAGUGUGUGGCCAUGAGUCUAUCAAGACAGCUCCCACUACACUGUUUCUUGAACACUCCAUUGUCCAUACAAUUACAAAAGAACCCUAUAGCCACUACUUUAUUAAUGAAAUAUCAUUAUAGAUCGUACUCCCAUAUUCUAUUUAGAAAAAAUUAGUCAAUUAGUCAAAAUUCUUAACAUAUUUAUUAAAAAUAAUUAUAAUUUAAAAUAAUUAUUAAAAAAUCAAUAUGUUAAUUAUAUAACAAAUAAAGUGUAUCAUAAUAUAAUUCUUUGUCCUUCCCUUUAUUUCUCGAGCCACCUAUAGCUGCUAAUAUGAGAGACCGGCAAAACAGUGAAGAGUCUUGCAAAGCCUAUGGCACCAUGUGGGGCGUGGUGAAGCAAGAAAGGACUGUUGAAACAGAGAGGGAUGUGAAUUUUCAUGCAAAACUAAUGGCACCAUAUGGCAUGACUGCAAAGUUACCCGUUCUAUAUGUCAACAAUUUUCUAUUUCUUUUUUAUUUUGUAUUCAUUCUAAUUAUAUGCCGAUAAGUUUUAUAUUUUUUAUGCUCACUUUGUAUUUUAAUAUAAUUUUGUAUUUCAAUCUCACUUUGUAUGUCAAGAAGUUUUGUAUUUCUUUUUUAUUUUGUAUUCAUUCUAAAUGUAUGCCAACAAGUUUUAUAUUUUUGAUACUCACUUUGUAUUUCAAUCUCACUUUGCAUGCCAAGAAGUUUUGUAGUAUUUCUUUUUUAUUUUGUAUUCAUUCUAAAUGUAUGCUAACAAAUUAUAUAUUUUUUGUAUUUCCAUCUCACUUUUUAUUUCAAUCUCACUUUGUAUGCCAACAAGUUUUGUAAAGUUCUUUUUUAUUUUUUUCAUUCUAAAUUCUUUUUCACUGCCAACAAAAAUUUCAAAUCAAUCGACUUCAAUUCGACAUAGAUUGAGUAUUAUCAAUGAAGUAUUAAAAAUCGAUAUUGGAAAUUUGAGGAAUAAGGGAGAGAGAAUCCAUGUCGAUUUCUAUUUGAAAUAUAACUGAUGAGAAAUUUCAGUGAUUUUUAUCUUAUUUGAAAUAUUCUCUCCUGAUCUUCUCCAUUUUGUUAUUAACUAAUUAUAUUUUUUUUUCAAAAAAAUAAUAAUAUAAAUCAGCAAUAUAACAAAUUAAAAUAUUGACAUUUUAAAUAAAUAUUAAAAGUGUGGCUAUAGGGUACUAUUAAAUGCUAAAAUAUUGCUAUUUAAAAAAAAAAGUCCUUUUUAAUUAAAGCUCUAUCUUAGGACUGUUCUAGAUCAAAGUCCAAAAGAAAAUCCCACAUGAAUGGCCAUGGAUCGUUUAUUGUCACUUGUCAUGUAGAAAAUAUCGUUAAUAUAUACAACUUGAACCACAUAAAAUUAACCAUCACAUGUUCCUAGUGUGUUUGAAUUAGUCAAAUCAAAGGCAUGUUUCAGAAGGGACAACUAAUUAAUAAUUUACUUAGUUUGCUUAGCUUAUUGUGGUGUUUUCAUAUUCCAAAGGCCCACAGCCUGACCGGUUGAUAUUGCACGUAAUUUCAUUUAAAAUCUUUGGGUACCAUUUACUUACCUUUAAAUCAUUGAAAGGUAAUGUAUCCAUUGUGAUGAAAUUCAGAGCUUAAGUUACAAUUGUGAGAAUAAUGUAUCUAUUGUGAUGAAAGUCAAAUGCUUUUAUAAGUGAGGAAAAAAGAGGUAUAUUUAUAGUAGGGAUAAGGGUCUGAAAAAUACCCUAACUUUGAUCGAAUUUACUGUUGCUAUACUAAAUUUUCAUGAAUCCGCUUUGUACAACUACAUGAGUGAAUCCUGAAUCAGAAACGGUUACUGGUGAAGCUUAUCCGAAUAUGUUACUAAAAAACCUUAUUUCUGGUCUUAUCAUUCCGAAGCUAGCUAGAUGCCUGCAAACAUUGUUUCAGAACUUCAAUGGAUAUGAACAACCUUAUCGGGUGUGACUCAAGGCUAUGUCUGGUGUUAUUGCUACUGAGUUGCACCUGAUUAGACUUUGACUGUCACGUGUUACCUUUUGAUACGUUCACAUGUCAAAUACAAAUUAUGUACUAGCAAAUACUUAUAAAAUCCUAAUAAAUUAAGUAAUCAAUUAGGCUUCUUGAACCCCUUCUAAGCUUACUCACAUGAAUUAUUUAAUUAGACAAAUAUAACCCUGCAGUUUCCGAUUUUAAAAUGUCAAACUUCUUUGAACAAUACAUGUUUAUUCCUUUCUUUGUAAAAACAGCUUAUAUCUACCAACAUUAUUUGCAGGUGUUUGAGUGGACAGCUCAACUAAUUGUGUGGUAUUAAACACAUAUCAUGAGAUUGAUAUAUUAUUUGAAGAUAGAUAGUAUGUCAAUAUUAAUUAGAAAAAGGAAAUAUAAAAAAAACAGAUGAGUAUAGUCAAGUGCAUGCUUCCAAAUUCGAUAUGAAGCAACGAAACACAUUCAAAUUAAAGAGUAAAUUUCACUUUUACUUUCUUAAUUUUUUGAAUUUGAAAAAUAAAUCUCUUUGAUCAAAUAUUUAGCGACAAUUGAGUUAAUAAGAUUGUAUCCAAAGCCGAGUCUUUAGCAACAUUUAUAUAGAGCACUAAUUUGGUGCACUAGUCCAAACGCUCGCCUUAGGCCUAACUCCUAAGGCAAGCGAGGUGACCUGACAUUGAAUAUUCGUCACUUCAUUCUUCUUGUGAUUUUGACAAGAUACGAACUAGUAAUCUCAACGUGUAGAUAGAGGUUCACGACCAUCAAAACCACCUAGUGAAUUGUGUUAAUUUUUCUCCUUUAAUUUAUAGUUAUUCAUGUACAUACUACGAUUCUAGGUGUGUGUAAUAAUAUUUUCCGAUGAAGUAAUAUCAAUGUCACAUGACAUUGCUUUAACUAACAUGCAUCUGCUAGUGAUGUCUUCACUAUCUUUAAAUUCUAAGUUCGUUUCUCCAUUUAAUAUAUAAAAGGUAAAAAUUGCCUGUCCCAUCCAAGCAUUUUGUAUUUGUAAAAUUGCAUGACCCAUUCAAGACUAUAGGCCUUCCAUAUUUUGAAAUGGAAUGUGUCAUAAACACACAUUGAUUGGAAAUUUCACCAAAUUAGAGUCUGGUGUCACCUUCAAUUGUGGAACCAAAUCCCAUUAAUUGGGUGCAGAGGACUUAUAGAACAAAUAAAGCCAAUAAAAUUGGCAUGACAAUUGACCCAAUGCCAUUCUUUAAAACUGUGUUAGGUAAAGGUUUAUAUCAUGGUGCUUGCAAGGGUAUAUAUAUAAAACAGAGAAAUGUAAAAGAAUUUUCCAACUUUUGGAUAAAGUGAAAGAAGAGAAGUUUAUUAUUUCCUCAAUCUCAUGUGUGUGGUUCAUUUGGUUUGUCAUUUUAUUUUAAAGUUAUUUUCAAUAAAAAAAAUUGUGUCAAAAUCUUAAAGGUUAAAUUGAUAACGAUCAUUAACUAAUAAAUUAAUAAUCGAUAAGUCAAUACCUUAAUGAUUCUAUAAUGGUUUAGCAUAUUUACAAAUCGAAAAUCAUAAAUUGAACUAAUGAACUUCAAAACUAAAUCGAAUUGAUCAAUACAGUCAUAGACAAAGAAGUAUUAAAGACUUUACCUUAAAACAACUUGUGAAAAGUAAUGGGAGUAGAACAUCAAAAGAAUGUUAAAUAAAAUUUAGAAUAUUUUAGCUAUUUAGUAGAACCUUCUAGAAUUUUGUAGAGUAAUAUCUUUGAUAUUUGUACUUAAGAAAAAUCUAGAUAGUCUAGAAUAUUAGAUAUUUAAGGGAGAUAUUUAUAGAAUAGAUUAGAAUAGUCUAGAUCCUUAGUAUCUAGAAUCAUCCCUACACAAGUAUAAAUAUGAUGACCUUAGUCAUCUGUAGACAACCCAAGAAUAACCAAAACUAAAGACAAUAGAAGAGUCUUCUUCCAUAAACAAGUUCUCCUUUUUAUCUUCAUCUUCAUUAGUUGAAUCUUUCGAAAGUUGAAUCUUUCGAUCUUAAUUAACGAUCUUGGACUAGUAAAAAAUUUUCCGAUUAUACUUUUUUUCUGCUAUUCUCUACAAUUACUGUAUUCAUACUUCAACAAGGAUCGGAAUUCGGAAUAUAGGUUCGGCUCUAGUCCUAAACCUUAUACCUAAAUCAAUCAAAAAGAGCAUAUUAUCAUGAAGUAAAAAUUACUCAAAACUCAUAGAAAAAGAUUACCACUUAUACACUCAACCAGGGGCGGAGCCACAUAGGCUCCAGGGUGUCCAAUUAAUUAUACUAUAGAUACACGUAAAAUUUUGACUUUAUAUUGGUAUACAUAGAAUUUGGACCCCCUGAAAUAAUAAAGUGAUGCGCAGUGGAGUUGGUAAUAGCCUGUGCAAUCCUACUCUUUGUCUCGGUUUGAUUUCCCGCAGAGUUGUUUUCUUUUUCUGUAAUUAUUUUGACUUCUUGAAUUCAAUUAAGUACAAUAAACAUGCGGAAUUUUUACAUAAAAGUUCAGUAGCUUGGUGGUUAAUAGUAUCAUGAAGAUCUCCAAGAUCCAAGUUCGAAUCCCUCCUCUACUAACUAUUUUUUUUUCAAUUAAAAUUGAAUUAUUUCCUUAAAUUUUAAUAUAUCACAAUAUUAUUAAGAAUAGAAUCUCAAUAAUUCUCUCUAUUUUUUCUUCUCGUUCUCUUAUUUUAUAACAAAAAUAACCAACUUAAUAUUUUAGUUUCAAGUUUCAAUUGACAUGAGGAAUUAUUAUAAUAGAGUACCAAAAAAAAAGUUCGACUUCUCUAAGUCAACCAAAUAAAGAAACAACGGUAGAUCAAUUAGAGAUGUUGUCACAUUCUUCUCAAAAACAAAGCAUUGAUUUAAAUACUCUAAAAAUGACUUGUGAAAUCGAAUGGAUGAUGAGUUUUUAGACGGUUGUAUAGUGUCUUAUGUAGAAAAGAAAGUAUUUUGUACUAUUUCUAAUGAGUCUAUUAUAAAAACGUUUCAGGAUAUGAAACCCCGUUGAGUACAAUUAUAAUAAUAUAUUUAAAUUAUGUUUUCAAUAGUAGUUUAUUUUCUUUAUGUUAGUUUUGAAUUAUACACUUGUAAUUCUAUUAAAAAUAUUCCUAUAUUUAAUUAAAUAUUGCUUAACUUGAUUAUUUAUUUUGGUAAUUUAAAUCGUCAUUUUUUAAAAAAAAAUUUACUAUUAAAAAUUUGGACACCCUUCAUUAAAUUCCUGGCUACACCACUGCACUCAACUAAUUUAAUGAGUUUAUCAACAAAUAAUAAAUUCCGUGAUCCUUUGAGCUUCAUAUAAUUAAUUAAAUAAUCUUUUAUUACAGCAUUAUAUUCAAUAAGUAUAUUUGAGUACAUUCUAUUUUAUGUGACAUUAUUAUUGUUUGAAAGGUCAAUGUAUUUUUAUGUUAAAUUUUGAGAAUGAUUUUUUCAUAUAUAUAUGAAUUGAAAACAAGUCUUAUGACAUAUACUAUCGUUAAUCUCUAAUCUCUAUAUUCGAGUCCAUACCAAAUAUAAUUUAAUACUCGUAUCUAAUGCCCGUAAUACUUAUGUUUUAUCUGAUAAUCUCAUCAUUUAAAUAUACACCAUAAUAUUAUUAUUCCUUAUUUUACUAACAAAAUAAAAAUAUAAUUUUGACAUUUUAUAUUGAAAUUGUUAUUUUUUUUUAUCUAGAGCACCAUGAACUUAAGCCUCCCCUUAACUUGAGGGCAGGAAAGACUAGUUUCUUCCAGCGUCUUCUAUUCAUGAUUCAUCCAUGCCAACAACUCCCCAGUCAAAUCACUAGUAUUAUUAUUUCUCAGUUUCAAUUUAUUUAUUUUAUAUUUAAAAAAUAUGCAUAUUUUUAGCAAUUUUUAAUGAUAGCUUAUUAUCAUAAACUACGGUAUUUGAUAUGUUUUAUAUAUCUUUAAUCUAAUUUAUUUUUUAAAACUUCAUGUCAUUUAAAUAAACAAAUUGACUUUACACUAUUUUUUUAUUGACGGCUAUGGAAUCUUGAAUUGAUGCACUUGAGUUGAGGUCGUAAUGAUAAAGUUUGUAUAUACAUUAUCCUUCUCAAACUUCUCUACCCCUCACAUCAAUUCUUAUUUCACUGGAUAUGUUAUUGUAAUCAGACUAACAAAUUGAUACGGAGUAAUUACUUACAACAUGGCCCCAGUUCCAGAAUAGUCCCGUAGCUUCAAUCUCAACCGUCCGAUCAAAUGAUCACUCACACACGUGUCGGCCACACUCCAAUAAUCACGAGAAUUCAAACCCCACAACAAACGUUACUUGUAAUUCACCUCCAUAUAUUACACCACUUCUCCCAUACCCAUUUUCAUCAAUUCAAAUCACGAACACAAAAAUCAACAUUUUCAUUAGCAUCAUCUUAAUUCUCCGAUCCUGCAGAUUUCCAUGGCUCCGGCAAUUGCUAGAGUAACCGAGAAAAUGGCGAAACCAGUAACCAACGGGCCGGGUCCUGCUACAUUGGACCGGGCCUACGUGACGUUUUUGGCGGGAAAUGGUGAUUAUGUGAAAGGUGUGAUUGGAUUAGCAAAAGGUUUGAGGAAGGUCAAAUCGGAGUAUCCGCUGGUGGUGGCGGUGCUGCCGGAUGUUCCGGCAGAGCACCGCCGUAUGCUGGAGGAGCAAGGCUGUGUCGUGAGGGAGAUUGAGCCAGUUUACCCACCUGAAAACCAAACUCAAUUUGCUAUGGCUUAUUACGUCAUCAACUACUCUAAGCUUCGUAUGUGGGAGGUAAGCGGGGUCCAUCGUUUGACACGUGUCAUGUUUUAAAAUUUCGGCAACACCACAUUUGCAAUUACACGUGGAUGGACCUGCCACGCGUCAUGUUUCUAGUGUUGCUACAUCAGUUUAUUCAUUACACGUGGGAUGAUAAUUGUUACUUUUCAUUAUUUGACACUCUUUUUUGUUUGAGAGUCUUAAUAAUUUAAGUUUCAUCGAAAAUUUGCGCACGAAAUCUUUAAAUGUUUUGAAAUGAAAUUAAUAUAUUUAUAAAUUAUUUAAAAAAAAAUACUAUAAGUUACAAUAAUAGAAAAUUCAAAAUAUUUAAAAGAUAUAUAAAAAAAUUAUGAUAAAAAAUAGAUUUAUUUGAAUCUCAAAAUUCGAAAAGUGUCACUUAAGUUGGAACAGAGGAAAUACUACAAAUGAUAAUUGUAGACGAGAUAAGUGUCAUAUAAUUUUGGAAAAAAAGUCAAAAAUAUAUUCGAACUAUGAUCGAAAUUGUUAUAAUAAUAUCGAAUUUUGGAAAUGACCUUUUACCCCUGCACUAUUUGAUAGUGUAUUUUAAAGGUAUAUAUUUGUCUAUGUGAACAUCAUAAAUAUUACAUCAUUAUAAAUAAUAACGUGUCCAUGUUGACACAUAUAUACCUUUAAAAUACACUAUUAAAUAGUGCAAGGGAAUAAAAGGUCUUCCAUAAAGUUUGCUAUCGUAACAACAAUUUCGGCCAAAGUUUGAGUAUUUUUCAGACAUUUUUCCUUAUAAUUUUUUUUAAUGACACAUAAAUUUGACUCUAAGGAGAGUAAUUACUUAUUAGUACGAGGGCAUUUUUGGGUUUAGUUUUAUUUUCCUUAACUAUCAACUCUAACGACUGAGGCUUGUUACCUGACAUACAAAGUAACCUAACUUGUUAUAGCAUCUUAAAGAUGUAUCGAGUGAUUGGGAGGUGGGUUUCCCAUAUGGCAAACUUGGGAUCUAGUAAUUUACUAAAUAUGUAUAAAUACUUGAAUAUAUGGGGAAUAGGUCCGGGAAUGUAACCUAGUUACUAUCAUCAAUUAAUUUGAUAUCGUUGUAUUAACUUUGUUACAGUUGGAUUAUUAUUGACAUAUAUUUGUCAUUACAUGUAUGCAGUUUGUGGAAUACAAGAAGAUGAUAUACCUAGAUGGUGACAUUCAGGUGUAUGACAACAUAGAUCAUUUGUUUGAUUUGGCGGAUGGUUACUUCUAUGCUGUAAUGGACUGUUUCUGUGAGAAAACAUGGAGUCACACACCUCAAUACAAAAUCGGCUACUGUCAGCAGUGUCCGGACAGAAUUAAGUGGCCUAGUGACGAAUUGGGUCAGCCACCAUCCCUAUAUUUCAACGCUGGAAUGUUCGUGUUUGAGCCCAGCCUCCGUACUUACCAAGACCUCUUGAAGAAACUUCAAAUCACCCCUCCUACUCCUUUUGCAGAGCAGGUACUUUUCUUGAAAAUUUUGAAAUUUAUAAGGUUCCCAAAUUUUUAGCAGAUAUUUCAACAUUUACAUAUAAUUAAAGUUAUUUGGUUCUGUCGAACCAGUACAUAUACCCUUGUCCUUGAUUGAUGUUGUGAUCAUAUGACAGGAUUUCCUGAAUAUGUAUUUCAAGAACAUCUACAGACCCAUACCACUAGUGUACAAUCUUGUUCUAGCAAUGUUAUGGCGUCAUCCCGAGAAUGUUGAGCUUGAUAAAGUGAAAGUUGUACACUAUUGUGCAGCGGUGAGUAACUAACUUGACUAUUCGCAUGUUUUAGAUCACAAAUUUUAAAAGUUUUUCUUUUUUUUCUGAGUCAUGUUGAUUUGUUCUUGUAACGAUGAUGGAGCAGGGAUCAAAGCCGUGGAGGUACACAGGGAAAGAAGAGAACAUGGAAAGGGAGGAUAUAAAAUUACUGGUGAAGAAGUGGUGGGACAUUUACAACGACGAGUCUCUGGACUACAAGAGAUCAGUUGGCAUGAACCAGGUGAAUGUGAUAGGUGCUGCAGGAGCAGUGAACCAGCUUCAACCACUGAUUGCUGCUGCUAUGUCCCAGGCUGGUGCGGUCAAAUACGUGACUGCUCCCUCCGCUGCCUAAAUUUUGUACUACUACACCACAUUGCACUACAUAAGGUUAGUUAAUUAAUAGGGUGAAUGUACGGAUAAAUGGUUGAGAGGGAGAGGAAGUUGUUAAUAGUUUUGCAAGGUUCAAAUGAAGUUUGGGGAUGAUUCGUUUGGUUAUUUCCAAUUUCGUUGUAUUUGAAUUGAAAAUUGAAAUGUGUGAGUUGAUUAACAAGGUAAUAUAAACUAUAUUUGGUGUACUAGAGUUCUUCAUUGCAGCUUACCUUCACCAUUCAAAUUUGGGUACGGACCGUGGUCUAACUUGAACGUCAAAAGUCAGCUAAUGACAUAACAAUCACCAAAACAAUACAAGGAGAUAACUUAAGAUCAAUGUGAAACACUCUUGAAUUUAUCUUUUAGAGACUACGGAUCAGACUGUUUUCACUAUAGAUGUUCAAAUGAAUUUAAGUGGGAGUCACUUUGAUGAUAAUGGAUCAGUUCAUAUUUUCACAAAUACACCAUAUGAAUUGAAUCUUUUUUUAUAUUGUUGGUCUGAGUGGGAGUAACUUAAUUACUAAUGCAUAAUCAAUUUAUCAAUCUCGACGAACAAGUCGUCCCCAAAUUAUCCAUGGUCGAUUUCAAAUCAAAGGAAAACAUUUUUAGUUACUCCCCAAGAUGACUUAGAGCCAAAAAAAUAUAAUAAACACUCUCACAAUGUCCUGCUAAAGAAAAAUGAUUAAAAGCAAUGGAGGAUGAGAUUGAGUCAAUGAAUUAAAUGAUCAAAUCAAGUUUCAAAAUCGAUUGAUAUAUCUAUAGGUUGUAAAACUAUUAAAACAAGUGGAUUUCUUAAAUCAAGCGUAAGGCAAUGGUAACAUUGAAAGAUUCAAAGUUCGUCUAGUAAAUAAACGGUUACACACAAUAGGAAGAAAUUGAUUAUGAAGAAACGUUUUCACUUGUUCAUUGUUUUGCUUUAAUAAGGCUAAAUUUAUCAAUAAUAGCUAUCUUGGAUCUUGAAUUGCAUUAAAUGGUGUAAAAACUUUAUUUCUCAACAUACAACAAGAAGAGGAAGUCUCUAGUUUAGACAUAAGUUGUUUGAAAUAUCAUCUGCACAAUAUUUUAUUUAUAAAAGGCAAACACUAUAUGGGAAAGGAAUCGAUAUACAUGUUUAAUUUCAUAUCAUGUAUGUAUAUAGUGACUCAUAAGGGUGAUACAAGUUUAGUCUCAGCUACUUAUUGUCGAGUGAAGCCUUGAAAAUCUUAAGUAAUUUUUCACAUUGUACCCUCGUGACUUUAAUUGAUUUAUUGAAAUUCAAUUUAGUGUAUGCUAUCUGAAUAUGUUGCUAAGAGAUUAUGCUUGAUUCGGUCUGACAGGACAUCUCUAGAAAUGUUAUCAUGUUGAGAUUAAGAGAAUCAUGAGAUGAGAAAGUUCAUUAAGUAUUAUCGCAUAAUUGUGUUCACUAAUCGGUCUCUUAUGAUGAUAACAAUUCAAAAUUAAGAUAAAGAGAUUAUGAGAAAUAUGAAUGUGAUAAAUGAUCUAGGAUACUGUAUGCUAUAAUUUAUUCUAAAUUUUAUGAAUCGAGAUAUAAUAGAUGUAUAUCAGUGAAAUUCUUGAAGUAUGCAUUGGCCACACAAUCUAGUCAUAAGUAUGAAAUGUUGGAGAAUAUGAAUGAGAGUUGACUCACUAUAUGUGAGUGAGAGAUGAAGGAAAUUAAGUCAGGUCACUUAUAUGAGUCGAUCCAGACCCAUGAGUAAUAUGUAUUUAUUAUAUAUUUAUUUAUUUACAAAAUAAAAAAUGCGAAAACAAUCGUUCGAAACUAGAAAAUGAAAAGAACGAUACUUUUCUCUCCAUCCAAAAUUAGAAGAAAAACUUUCCUCCUCUCUCAUUGAAAGUUGUUCAAGCAAAAGAAUUCUAGAAGAAGAUUUUACUACAAAAAGCUGAGAAUGAUAUUCUGGAAUAUGAUAUGAUUUUGUGACUUUAUAUAGUGUAGUGCAUUUUUGUAGGUGAUUACACAGUUUGACUAGUGAAAUAAAAUUCAAUAAUUCUACAAACUAUGUAUUUGAGUUUAUUCUUCAACAAUAUUGUUACUUUUUGCCUAGUACUUCAUGUCUUAUUUUACACUAUUAAAAUUGAUAAUUAAUCUAUUUAACGAGCUAAAUCAAUAACGCAUAUUUUUAACCUUUAAUAAACUUAACUGUACUAUUUUUCCGAUAAACAAAUAAUACUAUUGGCAAGUGGCAACCACACUCAAAGAAUUUAGUGGAACUGUCCUCUUCUCCACGAAUUGGCAGGUGACAGUUCUCUAUGUAAUCUCGUGAACGCAAGUGGACAAUGUCAAUUUAAAAUCAUUACUGCCAUUAACAUUCACUUGUAAAAAAAAAAAAAAAAACUUAAAUCCUAAAUCCUUUUCUUACCUAAUUAUAUGAAUACACUUAUAAAGUAACAAAUUCAGAAUUUAAAUUUAAUACGUACAAUUUUUAAUAUUUUUUUUUUUAGUUUCUCACCUAGUGUCUGAACCAUACUGCAUGGCCUAUGCUGAGGUGACUCUCCAAUCAAAAUUUUUCUCAUAUUCAAGACUUGAACUCGAAAUCUCUGGUUAAGAGUGCUUUUACUAUUUAACCGUAUAAUUACACCUUCCUACUUAUAGGUUAGUAAACUUUUAUUUAUUAAAAUUUUAAUGAUUUUUGCUUAAAUAUAUUUCUAUAUAUAUUCAACGUCGAAAAUACUGAACUUGGUCCGUACCUAUAGGUAAGAAGUGCACUCUUACUCCACCUAUUGCUCCACUUCACGGGAAAAAAGAAUGUGUGCCAAGUAGUUUAACUUCAUUUGUGUUAUAUAAAUAUAUAAUAUAGGCUAUAGGCUUAUCAUAAAUUGUGUAAUACACUCUUGUUAAAAACAUUACAACAACAAAUAUUUAUAUAUAUGAAUAUGAAAAUGAGAAGUAGAACAAGUUAUACGUUUAUAUUACUUGUUUGUUUUUGGAUGUGUCAAUUAGCUAACGUUGUUGUUUGUGAGUGUAGUAAAAAUAUGGUAAUUUUCAAUUUUGGAGAUUCAAAUUCAGACACAGGUGGUUAUCCAGCUGCUCAUGGAAUUCGAUUUGGAUAUCCAGAUGGUCGUGCCUUUUUUCAUCAGCCAUCUGAUAGAUUGUGUGAUGGACGAUUGAUUCUUGACUUCCUUUGUAAGCCCUUCUUCUUACUCUUUCUUACGUUUCAAUUUUUGUGGCGUAAUUUAAUUCGUCAGAGAAUACUUUUUUUAGAAAGUCAAUCUUCUCAAUUUUUAUAUAUUGGCUUGAAGCAAAUAAUAGUUUUAAAUAUGGUAGAAUAUUUGUAUGGAUAUUAGACUUUUGAAACUUGUUAUUUUGGAUAUAGCAUAAGUAAUGUUUUUGCGACUAUAAAGUCUUUUUAAUUGAAUCACUUUGCUGAAAAAUUUUAAUAUACAAUGUGCUAACAGGGUACAAAAAACAUUUUUUGUGCGUAUAUAACAUAGAUAUUCUUCCGGACUUAUGCAAAUAUUACGUAAGAAGGAACGUAAAAUCAUCGUUUUUUAAAAACUAAAAAAUGUAAACGGAAACGAAAGACAUCGUUUUUUCACCAAAACCUUCAUUCAUUUCCAACAUCUAUAUAUGCAUCAAAAUCACUUGAUUCCAAAGUAAAAAUGUCUCUUUCAUGUUCAACUAGUAAACCAUUACUGAUCUCCAUUUGCAAUCUUGAUUUAUUUUGUACAGUUUCCACUUUUCAAGCACUCUUUUAACCCGUGAAACUAUAUGGUAGCCGGUAGGUAAACAAUCAAUCACCCACAAGUUUUUUUAGAAUUUUUUUUUUAUCAACUCACUCAAGAAAUAUUGCAGAAAUUUCUUUUUCUAAAUUAGAUAUUUUCAAUUUUUAAUAUUAUAAAUUUUUUAUUUCAAAAUGGCUUAUAUUGAGCCCGUGAAGUUUUUUUUUUUUUUCUUUUAUUUCGGUGUGCUUAAUAUUUUAUUUGUCAAAUAUCUAUAAGUUACGUAUGUAGCAUUUAAUAUAUUCAAAUUUAGACUGUGAAAUUUUGUCACGGGAGAUAUCUCAAUCAUGAAUUACAAUCAAAUUCUUUUGCAUGCAUUUAAAAACGCGGAAUAUAAAUAGGUUCAUAUUUAAAUUUUAUAUUCUUUUAAAUUUUCUUAGUAAAGUUUCUGACUCCUCGAUUACAGGUGAAAAUUUGAAUAUGAGCUAUUUGACUCCAUAUCUGGAAUCUGUAAGGCCGAAUUUUAAGAACGGGGUAAAUUUUGCAAUUGGAGGUGCAACUAUACUCCCCAAAAAUGUUUUAUUUAGUCUGAGUACGCAAGUUCUUCAAUUUGUAAGGUUUCUUCAGUUACAAUCCAAAGGUAAUAUUUACUACUAUAGUAUAAUAUUAUAGUAUCGAGUUGAUUUCUCAUAUUUUCACUUAGUUAAUAAUUAUAUGAAAAAGAUACUCCUUCCGUCCAAUAAUAGUUGUUCAUUAUACUAAAAAUAAUUGUCCAAUAAUACUGUCCAGUUUAGAAAAUCAAGACAAUUACCUUUUGUGUCUAUUUUACCCUUGUGCACUUUUAGUUGUCAUGCUGCGCUUUUCGAAAGCCAAUUUAAUUAAUUUUCAAAGUUAAAUUAGAUUACAUUAAUUCGAUAUUUCAAACAAAAAAUUUAGAUAUUCAAAAACUAUACGAAAAUUAAAGUACUAUAAAUUUCAAUUUUUUCCAUAUCAAUAUCAAUAUCAAUAUGAUGAAAAAAUACAUUGCAAAAUGUUGGUCAAAGUUAUUAUCGUUUGACUCUAAAAAAGGAAAUUAUGACCAUUAAAAGUGGACAGAGGUAGUAAUAUUUAUCAUCUAACAUAUUUUUCAAAGCAUUUAAUUUAAUAAAGUCAAAGGAUAAAAUAGUAAUAUUACCCCUAUUAUUUAGUGUUUCUGAAGGGAUAUGACAAGUCAAUAGUGAAAAACUAUUGUUGAAUAGAGGAAGUAUGUGAUUCCUUGAAAUAAUUAACAAUUCAAUUAUUAAUUGAGUGAUCAUCUGAACAAUAUGUUACUUUUGACUGAUAUUAACGUCCUAACUUUGGACUCGUAAUUUGACAAGGUUCGGAAGAGUUGGUUGAUAAAUUAGAUUUGAAGAAGGCAAUAUACAUGAUAGACAUAGGACAAAAUGAUCUUGCUGGUGCAUUCACUUACCUUUCACAAGCUUCUCAAGUUAUUGAAAAGAUCCCUACUUUCAUAUCAGAAAUUCAAGAUGCAAUUCUGGUGAGCUUUUUUUUUCUUCUUCUUUUUAUAAAAGUCCAAGUUUGUCCCUAUAUCAUUCGAAAUUGCUCAUUUUUUGUCUAUAUUACACUCUUGGUUCAUUUGUUAGCGAAACGUCAUGUUUUUCCUUGUUAUUAACGGAGCUACAACAUGAAAUAGAUGAAGUCCACGUGUCUUAAGUUCUUCAAGAAAACUAAGAAGUUUAACAAUACCCCUUAUCAUUUGACCAUGUUAAAGAAUGACAAAAGUCUCACAUUAGUGGUUAAUGAGAUCGAUGGGUAGACUUCUUAAAAGGCUUGGACAAUCGUUCUCCCUUUGAGCUAGCUUUUGAGGUUAGGCUUAAGACCUAAUUUAACAUGGUAUCAGAGCAGUUGCACCAGAUGCUAAGCACUGGGCGUGAGGUGAGGUGUUAAAAGAAUGACAAAAGUCUCACAUUGGUGGUUAAUGAAAUGAGUGGACUCCUUAUAAAGCUUGGGCAAUGACCUAAUUUAACCACUAUAAUUCAAAAUUACCCUCAGAUUGAAGACCUUCACUAAAUCAAUGCAGGGCAUAUACAAACAUGGAGGGAAGAAUUUCUGGAUUCAUAACACGGGACCAUUAGGUUGUUUGCCACAAAAGGUUGCCACUAGAAAUGCAAGUAAUUCGAACGAUGUUGAUGAUCAUGGAUGUGUUAAGUCUAUGAACGAAGCUGCACAAGCAUUUAACCAUCAAUUGCGCGCUCUUUGUGAACAAUUGAGGCUCCAAAUGAAGGACACAACCAUUGUGUAUGUCGAUAUGUAUGCCAUCAAGUACGACCUCAUCGCCAAUUCUAGCACUUAUGGUGAGUUUACUUUGUUUAUUUCAACAUUCUACGUGUGUCAUACUUAUAUUGAUUAAUAUUUUUGAAUCCAACAUGUGUUAUUAGGUAUUCAAAAUCCAUUGAUGGUGUGUUGUGGUUAUGGGGGUCCGCCUUAUAACUAUAAUUCCAACAUAACUUGUCGUCAAAGUGGAUGUACUCUGUGCGAGGAAAGUGGUGCAUAUGUCAGCUGGGAUGGAGUUCACUACACUGAGUUUGCUAAUUCAAUUGUUGCUUCCAAAAUACUCUCCACUAAUUAUUCUACUCCACCUCUGGACUUGCAUCACUUUUGUACCUAGAAAUUCAUUACCACUCCUAUGUUUGCUUGUGUACUCACAAAUUAAAUAACUUGUUUUUUUUUUCUUUCUCUUAUUAUUAUUGUGGGUGAAUCAUAUUAAGAGUAUACUUUGAACUGUUUUAGCCUAACAUAUUGUGACGAUUCAACUAUUACUAGACUUAAUUAGGAUUAAAGGAAAAUCGAAACUACUUUUCGUAAUGUCGACCUUUCAAAUAAAAAACUCGUCGUCAUUCCAUCCACUCCUUGUGGUAUAUAAAACUUUCGCAUUAAUAUUAAUUAGGCACGGUAUAUAACUAUAGUUAAGAGUAAAAUUUAGGUUUAACAAACAUAAAAAUUAUAUUUGCAUGUUAUAGCUAUAGUUUGUAUAAUUGCGCUCCAUAGCAAAUUUUAUGCUUGCUAUGGAACAUCAGAUUUGUAUAAAUCGCAGGCAGACAUUUGUUUGUAUAAAAACGCAGCAAUUGUAUAUGUAUAUCAGUUAGAUAAUUGUAUAUAUGUAACUAUUAUGAUAUGUAUCAAUGAUUGUGUUUGUAUAUCUGCAUAAAAUUUAAAUUUGUAUACAAUUGAAUCGAAAUAAAACACUUGUAUAUCAAAUCUCUCUCUCUCUCUCUCUCUCGCUUUAUACAACACAAAUUAUACAUUGUAAUUUGUAUAAUUUGUGUUUGUAUAGAGCGAGAAAAAGAGAAAGGCAAAAGAGAACUGGUAGGGAAAGAUCUGUAUUUGUAUAAUUAUAAGUGUAUAAGACGAAAAUAUAUGUAUUUGUAUAUACAGUCUCCUCUCGCAUUAUACAAACACAAAUGCAAUUUAUACAUUUGUGUUUGUAUAAAAGUGAGAGAGGCGAAGAGAGUGACGUGCGAGAUCAGGGAGAGUGGCAAACGAGAUUUCUGGGGAGAGAAGCAAAUGAAAAGUAUUUGCUACGGAUUAGAAUUAAAUGAAACUAUCGUUAUAACAUUUAAUUUGAAUUAAUAAUUUGCUAUUUUAUACAAUUUUCCCAAUUAAUAACCAUUUUUAUACACGUUCUCCAUUUCUAUACACGUUCCAACAGCAGCCAAAAGAAAAUGAUAUACUUGGAAAGAAGGCAAGGGGUACUUAUAUAGGCUUUAGAGCCCGUUUGGAUUGACUUAAAAAAAGUAACUUUUAAAAAGUAACUUUUUAAAGUGCUGGAACUUAUUUUUAAAAUAAGUAGUUAUGUGUUUGGAUAAAAGUGCUGCAGUUGAAAAAAAAGUUGUUGAUGUGUUUGGCAAAUAAGUGCUGGUAUACACUUUUUUUUAUCAAAAUGUCUGAAAUACCCUUUAAGCUGUUAACAUGAUAAAAAGUUGAUUAAUUUAAGGUUUUUAUACUUAAAAAAAAAAAUUAAAACAAAAUUAAUUUAUGUUUUACAUCCAUAAGUAAUAAUAUUUUUCUAUCAUUCACAUAUUUCUUUACCACCUUAUAAGAGGAAUAUAAAUUCAUAUUUCAGAAAUAAUAAUAANNNNNNNNNNNNNNNNNNNNNNNNNNNNNNNNNNNNNNNNNNNNNNNNNNNNNNNNNNNNNNNNNNNNNNNNNNNNNNNNNNNNNNNNNNNNNNNNNNNNNNNNNNNNNNNNNNNNNNNNNNNNNNNNNNNNNNNNNNNNNNNNNNNNNNNNNNNNNNNNNNNNNNNNNNNNNNNNNNNNNNNNNNNNNNNNNNNNNNNNNNNNNNNNNNNNNNNNNNNNNNNNNNNNNNNNNNNNNNNNNNNNNNNNNNNNNNNNNNNNNNNNNNNNNNNNNNNNNNNNNNNNNNNNNNNNNNNNNNNNNNNNNNNNNNNNNNNNNNNNNNNNNNNNNNNNNNNNNNNNNNNNNNNNNNNNNNNNNNNNNNNNNNNNNNNNNNNNNNNNNNNNNNNNNNNNNNNNNNNNNNNNNNNNNNNNNNNNNNNNNNNNNNNNNNNNNNNNNNNNNNNNNNNNNNNNNNNNNNNNNNNNNNNNNNNNNNNNNNNNNNNNNNNNNNNNNNNNNNNNNNNNNNNNNNNNNNNNNNNNNNNNNNNNNNNNNNNNNNNNNNNNNNNNNNNNNNNNNNNNNNNNNNNNNNNNNNNNNNNNNNNNNNNNNNNNNNNNNNNNNNNNNNNNNNNNNNNNNNNNNNNNNNNNNNNNNNNNNNNNNNNNNNNNNNNNNNNNNNNNNNNNNNNNNNNNNNNNNNNNNNCUUAAAAUAAGUCAUUUUUGACUUAAAAUAAGUCACUUUGAUAAUUGCCAAACACUCUAAUAAGUCAAAAACUGGCUUUUAAGCCAGUUUGACCAGCUUAUAAGCCCAUCCAAACAGGCUCUUAGUCUCCUCCAAAUAUAUUUGUUAAUACUCUCUCUGUCCAACAAUCGUUGUCCACUAUACUAAAAAUAUUUGUCCAACAAUACUUGUCAAAUAUAUAAAAUCAAGAGAUAAUUUAGUUUUUGUGUCUAUUUUACCCUGGCUAUUAAGUACAAUUUAUCAUCUAACACAUUUCUCAAAGCAUUAAAUUUAAUAAAGUCAAAGAAUAAUAUAGUAAAAUUACCCCUAUUAUUUAUUGUUUCUUAAGGGGUGUGUAGUGACAGAACUAGAAUUUUUAAUAAGAGGGUUCAAAAUCUGAAGAACUAAACACACGAACUAAUUGAAGGGGGUUCGACAUCUACUAUAUAUACAUAAAAAAUAUUUUUAACCAUGUAUAAAUAGUAAUAUUUUCUGCCGAAGGGGGUUCAUGCUGGCUCCACCCCUGGGGUGUGCCAAGUCUAGUGGACAACUGUCGGACAGAGGGAGUUUUUUUUUUUUUUUUGAAAAAACUACAUAAAUGAGCCAUAAAAUCCAAAAAUUACAAGUUUAUACCCAAACUCAAAGAAAUUCAUGAAAUACCCAUUCUCUCAUAAAUAAUUACCGCACAUACUCUCAUUCUGAUAAUUCUCGUUUAACUGAUACUAAAUCAGUAUCAUAUAUUGUAUUGGUAUCAUUAAGGCCGAUAAUUUCGCUUAAUUGAUAUUAAAUCAGUAUAUAUAUAUAUAAUACUUGACGAUAAAACAUGACCAAGUCAAGGUCAUAUCCU
rnacentral:lncRNA from 1 species